AUAUGUGGCUUUGUUAUUCUAUUCCUGCAUUAAUUCACUUAGGAUUAUGGCCUCCAGCUCCAAUCAUGCUGCUACAAAGGAUAUGAUUACAUUUUUGUUUAUGGCUGUGUAGUAUCCCAUGGUGUAUAUGUAUGAAGAUAUAUAUG